UACAGAGGUCUCAAGCGUUGUUCGGAUUCAUUGGGCGUAAAGGGUGCGUAGGCGGCGCGGUAAGUCGGGUGUGAAAUCUCGGAGCUUAACUCCGAAACUGCAUUCGAUACUGCCGUGCUUGAGGACUGGAGAGGAGACUGGAAUUUACGGUGUAGCGGUGAAAUGCGUAGAUAUCGUAAGGAAGACCAGUGGCGAAGGCGGGUCUCUGAACAGUUCCUGACACUGAGGCACGAAGGCCAGGGGAGCAAACGGG
rnacentral:rRNA from 1 species